rnacentral:rRNA from 1 species
AGGGAAUAUUGCGCAAUGGACGGAAGUCUGACGCAGCGACGCCGCGUGAGCGAUGAAGGUCUUCGGAUCGUAAAGCUCUGUCCUUGGGGAAGAAGGGCUUCGGCCUUGACGGUACCCAAGAAGAAAGCCCCGGCUAACUACGUGCCAGCAGCCGCGGUAAUACGUAGGGGGCGAGCGUUGUCCGGAAUUACUGGGCGUAAAGGGUGCGUAGGCGGCCCUUUAAGUCAGAUGUGAAAGGCCACGGCUUAACCGUGGAACUGCAUUUGAAACUGGAGGGCUUGAGUGUCGGAGAGGGUAGUGGAAUUCCCAGUGUAGCGGUGAAAUGCGUAGAUAUUGGGAGGAACACCAGUGGCGAAGGCGACUACCUGGACGAUAACUGACGCUGAGGCACGAAAGCUAGGGGAGCAAAC